rnacentral:lncRNA from 1 species
CAAUCAAUCUGAAGUUUAUCAUUGGAUAAAAGAAUGAAGCAGGCAAGAUUAUAUUUUAAGGAUUCUUAUGUAGUCUACUUACCUUAUAUAUUGAGAUAUGCAAUCCAUGAAGAUAUGAGUUAAUUUUAUGAUAUUUUGUAUCAUUUAUAUUAGGACAAUUGGUUUAAUGAGAUAUGGGCAAACCAAAGGUUAUCUUGUGAU